rnacentral:rRNA from 1 species
CACGCCCUAAACGAUGUCAACUGGUUGUUGGGUCUCUUCUGACUCAGUAACGAAGCUAACGCGUGAAGUUGACCGCCUGGGGAGUACGGCCGCAAGGUUGAAACUCAAAGGAAUUGACGG